rnacentral:lncRNA from 1 species
UGCUGCUCCUCUGGGUGCCAAGAUGUGUCCUCAGGUGUCUUGGUCAGCUGAUGAUGGACACGCAGCACAGGAGGCUAAGAACAGAGCUCUGUGGGGCGAGGCCUGGGGAGCCCUUUAGUGGGGUGGGACCUCAGGCAGACCCCCAAACCAAAGGGAGCCAGAUGCCCAAGUUCAAGUCAUUAGUGAUAUGUGGCAGGGCU